AGUGAACGCUGGCGGUAGGCCUAACACAUGCAAGUCGAACGGCAGCACAGUAAGAGCUUGCUCUUACGGGUGGCGAGUGGCGGACGGGUGAGGAAUACAUCGGAAUCUACUUUUUCGUGGGGGAUAACGUAGGGAAAUUUACGCUAAUACCGCAUACGACCUACGGGUGAAAGCAGGGGAUCUUCGGACCUUGCGCGAUUGAAUGAGCCGAUGUCGGAUUAGCCAGUUGGCGGGGUAAAGGCCCACCAAGGCGACGAUCCGUAGCUGGUCUGAGAGGAUGAUCAGCCACACUGGAACUGAGACACGGUCCAGACUCCUACGGGAGGCAGCAGUGGGGAAUAUUGGACAAUGGGCGCAAGCCUGAUCCAGCCAUACCGCGUGGGUGAAGAAGGCCUUCGGGUUGUAAAGCCCUUUUGUUGGGAAAGAAAAGCAGCAGGUUAAUACCCCGCUGUUCUGACGGUACCCAAAGAAUAAGCACCGGCUAACUUCGUG
rnacentral:rRNA from 1 species